GUAGGUGGCAAGCGUUGUCCGGAAUUAUUGGGCGUAAAGCGCGCGCAGGCGGUCCUUUAAGUCUGAUGUGAAAGCCCACGGCUCAACCGUGGAGGGUCAUUGGAAACUGGGGGACUUGAGUACAGAAGAGGAAAGCGGAAUUCCAAGUGUAGCGGUGAAAUGCGUAGAGAUUUGGAGGAACACCAGUGGCGAAGGCGGCUUUCUGGUCUGUAACUGACGCUGAGGCGCGAAAGCGUGGGGAGCAAACAGGAUUAGAUACCCUGGUAGUCCACGCCGUAAACGAUGAGUGCUAAGUGUUAGGGGGUUUCCGCCCCCUUAGUGCUGCAGCUAACGCAUUAAGCACUCCGCCUGGGGGAGUACGGCCGCAAGGCUG
rnacentral:rRNA from 1 species